rnacentral:rRNA from 1 species
UACGUAGGGUGCAAGCGUUGUCCGGAAUUAUUGGGCGUAAAGAGCGCGCAGGCGGCUUGGCAAGUCGGGUGUGAAAUCCCGGGGCUCAACCCCGUGACUGCAUCCGAUACUGUCAGGCUAGAGGUAGGUAGGGGAGAUCGGAAUUCCUGGUGUAGCGGUGAAAUGCGCAGAUAUCAGGAGGAACACCGGUGGCGAAGGCGGAUCUCUGGGCCUUACCUGACGCUCAGGCGCGAAAGCUAGGGGAGCGAACAGG